rnacentral:rRNA from 1 species
AUGCACUUUCUUCCCCGUCUUCCACUCUUCUUCCUCCUCUCUUCCCCAUCGUCGGCCGCACACCAUUUCCCCCCGCUCACUGCUCGCCUGCCCGCGCUAUCUUCCUUGGUAGCUCAUGCGUACCAUAUCCCCCCGCUCACUGCUCGGCCACACGAGGAGAAGCUUCUUCGCUCGCCCGCCCGGAUCCACUUCCCCGCUGGCUCGCAGGCACCGAAAACCCCAAUGGCAGAACCAACUGACACGCGGAGCCGCGAUCGGAAUUCCCUCCCCGAUGUUCUCUUGGAGCAGAUCUCUAAUCGUAUGGACCUACUCAGCACUGUCCGUUUGGCCGCAUGCUCGGUGUCUUUGUACUGUCUACUCGUCUGCAACCGGCCGGCUCUUUUCAAGACACCCUGCUUGCUGAUGCCCGAUCCUCCCAGGUGGCCCAGACACCGACUUGACGAUCCUAUGGAGGUUGCCGUGGUGCCCCUCGACAUGCUACCACUACCCGUCCACCUGUCCUUCAUGCGCGACCACUACUGGGCGGGCAUGAAGGCCAACUGGAUCGUCCUCAUCGACCAAUCCGGUAGUCCGUGGCGUCUCGUGGAUAUCUACACCCAGCGAGAGAUCACCCUUCCAUCUUUGGAUACCGCCGCCAUCGAGCCUCGCGGCCCGCUGGACACUCCUGCCUACUACGCACGAGACGCGUCGAGCUUUUUGCUCGACCUCUGUUUGCCGAAGGUUGUAAUCUGUAAAGUGCCCACACCAUCAGAAGACUACAUGGAUUACAAGCUCAUUUCCACGUUCAACAUUGGAUUAGUCUAUCUGGAAUCCGGUCACCAUACAUGGUUAUGGCUCAUCGUCGAUCCUCUUCACCCAACACUUCUGUCUGAUGCUAUAGUGUACGAUGGCAUCGUUUAUGCGGUCGACACACACAUUGGCUGCCUAUACUGGUAG